rnacentral:misc_RNA from 1 species
GCUCCGUAGGUGAACCUGCGGAGGGAUCAUUACAGAGUUCAUGCCCUACCGGGUAGAUCUCCCACCCUAUGUUAUUAUUACUUUGUUGCUUUGGCGGGCCGUUAGGCUCCGGCCCGACUACCGGCCCCGGCUGGUAAGCGCCCGCCAGAGAACCCAAAACCCUGAAUAUUAGUGUCGUCUGAGUACUAUAUAAUAGUUAAAACUUUCAACAACGGAUCUCUUGGUUCUG